GAUGAACGCUGGCGGCGUGCUUAACACAUGCAAGUCGAACGGUGAAGCAGGAGCUUGCUCUUGUGGAUCAGUGGCGAACGGGUGAGUAACACGUGAGCAACCUGCCCCUGACUCUGGGAUAAGCGCUGGAAACGGCGUCUAAUACUGGAUAUGUGAUGUGACCGCAUGGUCUGCAUCUGGAAAGAAUUUCGGUUGGGGAUGGGCUCGCGGCCUAUCAGGUUGUUGGUGAGGUAAUGGCUCACCAAGGCGUCGACGGGUAGCCGGCCUGAGAGGGUGACCGGCCACACUGGGACUGCGACACGGCCCAGACUCCUACGGGAGGCAGCAGUGGGGAAUAUUGCACAAUGGGCGGAAGCCUGAUGCAGCAACGCCGCGUGAGGGAUGACGGCCUUCGGGUUGUAAACCUCUUUUAGCAGGGAAGAAGCGAAAGUGACGGUACCUGCAGAAAAAGCACCGGCUAACUACGUGCCAGCCGCCGCAGUAA
rnacentral:rRNA from 1 species